rnacentral:rRNA from 1 species
UCCUACGGGAGGCAGCAGUGGGGAAUAUUGGACAAUGGGCGCAAGCCUGAUCCAGCAAUACCGCGUGUGUGAAGAAGGCCUUAGGGUUGUAAAGCACUUUCAAUUGGGAGGAAAACCUGCCGGUCAAUACCCGGUAGCUUGACAUUACCUUUAGAAGAAGCACCGGCUAACUCCGUGCCAGCAGCCGCGGUAAUACGGAGGGUGCGAGCGUUAAUCGGAAUUACUGGGCGUAAAGCGUGCGUAGGCGGUUCGUUAAGUCAGAUGUGAAAGCCCUGGGCUCAACCUGGGAACGGCAUUUGAAACUGGCGGACUAGAGUUUAGUAGAGGGGAGUGGAAUUUCAGGUGUAGCGGUGAAAUGCGUAGAUAUCUGAAGGAACACCAGUGGCGAAGGCGACUCCCUGGACUAGAACUGACGCUGAGGUACGAAAGCGUGGGUAGCAAACAGGAUUAGAUACCCUGGUAGA